GAGUAACACUGGGUUGUUCUUCAGAUGCGAGAGGGAGAAGUUUCAGAACCCAGUGGCCUUUUCUUCUGAACUGAAAUGGAGAAUCUGGGAAUCUUCUCAAAGAAAUGCAUCUCUGGAGACCAUAAUGAAGAAAUUCAAAGACUCUCUGUCAUCUAGACAGCGGUUGGACAAA